rnacentral:lncRNA from 1 species
GACAUGGACAGGAGAGGCCCCGCCCUGCAGGAAUGUCAGGCAGCCAUCAGGUGAUGCUCAGGCUUCAGAGUUCUACAUCGUAUCCUACUUACAGCCCUAAAUACCUGUUAACUGCCACCCCCUGGACAGAUUAUUACAGUGACAACAGAAAUAUAAGUCACAUAAGGAGCUGCUGAAUGCACUCAAGACUCAACAAUCUCCAAAGAUACUGGAAGGCACGAAUGGAAAUCUGGACUCUGACAACUGUCCUUAGCAUGUUAUCUUUUACGCCAAUGCUGGCCAAAGAGAAGGACUUAAAACGUUGUACUGAUCCUUACAAGAACUUAGUUUCCACUGUUUCUUUCCACUACUUUUGCUAAAUUCAAAUUGACCAACCAAUAGCUGCUUAACUAGGACCACACCUUGCUCUUCCUGCAUCUUAUCCCAUGAGCAACACGAUUUCAGUUUCCCCAUAAUUUCCAAGAACUUGCCAGUGAAUAAUUCUCGGAAUAAAACUGAACUAUGACUGUGAAACUGCCUUUGCAAAAAUCAUAACUGAGAAAAGAAGGUAAAAGAGAUGUGUCCUAACUGCCUUCAUCUUUCUUUUAACCUCCAAGCUGUCUUAUUCAUUGCUGGUGUAGGCUAAACUAAUUUUGGAAGAAACUUAGUUUAUGAUUUAACUUUGAAACCAAGAUAAUAGCAGCCCUUUCCCUAAACAAACCCCCUUCCUGCCUACAGCCUAGACUGGCUUUGCAGGAUUAACAAAAUAGCCACAAAAUUAGAAAUUAUGGCUUAGGAGUCAUGCAGCUGGAGGGUACAAGAAUCUGAACCUCUCCAAAUUGCUCCUGAGGAUAACAUCACUAUUGUAAAAUCUAAGAUCAGUGCUUCAGAUAUUUUGCAGACUCUGUGCUUAAAGGAUCAGCUGGCACUACCCAGGUCUUGAUAAACUGGCUCAGUUGGACUUGUGGCCUCUGCCUAGGAACUGAUUCAGCAUAAGAGGACAGCUUUGACUCCCUAUUAUUUUAUCUCUGACCUGAUCAAUCAGCACUGCCAACUUUCUGACCCCCUAUACACCAAAUUAUUCUUGAAAACCUCAGUCUCCAAGUUUUGGGAGAGACUGAUUUGAGUAAAACUCUGGUCCCCUGUACAGUCAGCUUUGCAUGAAUUAAACUCUUUCUCUAUUGCCAUUCCCCUGUCUAGAUAAAUCAGCUCUGUCUAGGCAGUGGGCAAGAUUAACCCACUGGGUUACAUGUGGCCUUUCCCAAUUCUAUCUUAUGAAAUAUUUAUCUACUUGGUCCCCAUAGUCAUCUUGAAAUGUGUUUCAUGUUGCAAUGUUUUAAUAAAGGCUUUAGCUAAUA